GCUCCAACGUUGAAUUAUGAUUGGUCGUGUCGGGUGGUUGCGCGCGCACUUCGAGUCACGUUUCGAGGGAGCAACCGCGAGUUCAGUAGCCGCCGUGCGGCCCGCGUGUAUUCGUCGGUUCAUUUUUUGUUUUGUCCUAUUACAGUGUGUUAUACUGAAGAAUAAAAAGAAGAAUUGUGGUAACAGCAAGAAGAAGAAGAAGAAAAAGAAGAAGAAGAAGAGAAGAAGAACACAAACACAGUGAAUGAAGGAAACAUACAACGACGUCGUUGGAUUAAUCUUAUAUUUCAUUGUGCUUUGAGUGAGCCCUAGGAUAUCAUCCCCUAGCUGUUCCGGAUUUAAUUCCAUCAUCAAUAUGGAUGCGCAAACUGAGCAAAUUGGACUUUAAAUAUCAACUGACUGAAUUUUACAUUUCCAUUUUUUAUUUUUUUUUUUUUGUUCAACACUUUCUAUAAAAGAUAU